rnacentral:rRNA from 1 species
CCUACGGGGGGCUGCAGUGAGGAAUAUUGGUCAAUGGGCGCGAGCCUGAACCAGCCAAGUCGCGUGAGGGAUGACGGUCCUACGGAUUGUAAACCUCUUUUGCCGGGGAGCAAGCGUGCGUUCGUGAACGCGCGUCGAGAGUACCCGGAGAAAAAGCCUCGGCUAACUCCGUGCCAGCAGCCGCGGUAAUACGGAGGAUGCGAGCGUUAUCCGGAUUUAUUGGGUUUAAAGGGUGCGUAGGCGGGAUGCCAAGUCAGCGGUAAAAAUGCGGUGCUCAACACCGUCGAGCCGUUGAAACUGGCGUUCUUGAGUGGGCGAGAAGUAUGCGGAAUGCGUGGUGUAGCGGUGAAAUGCUUAGAUAUCACGAAGAACUCCGAUUGCGAAGGCAGCUUACUAAACUGCCACUGACAUUGAUGCUCGAAAGUGUGGGUAUCGAACAGGAUUAGAUACCCUGGUAGUC